rnacentral:rRNA from 1 species
AUUGAACGCUGGCGGCAUGCCUUACACAUGCAAGUCGAACGGCAGCACGGGAGCAAUCCUGGUGGCGAGUGGCGAACGGGUGAGUAAUAUAUCGGAACGUGCCCAGUCGUGGGGAUAACGUAGCGAAAGCUACGCUAAUACCGCAUACGAUCUAUGGAUGAAAGCGGGGGAUCGCAAGACCUCGCGCGAUUGGAGCGGCCGAUAUCAGAUUAGGUAGUUGGUGAGGUAAAGGCUCACCAAGCCGACGAUCUGUAGCUGGUCUGAGAGGACGACCAGCCACACUGGGACUGAGACACGGCCCAGACUCCUACGGAGGCAGCAGUGGGGAAUUUUUGGGACAAAUGGGCGGCAAGCCUGAUCCAGCAAUGCCGCGUGCAGGAUGAAGGCCCUCGGGUUGUAAACUGCUUUUGUAC